rnacentral:rRNA from 1 species
GAUGAACGCUGGCGGCGUGCCUAAUACAUGCAAGUCGAGCGAACGGACGAGAAGCUUGCUUUUCUGAUGUUAGCGGCGGACGGGUGAGUAACACGUGGAUAACCUACCUAUAAGACUGGGAUAACUUCGGGAAACCGGAGCUAAUACCGGAUAAUAUUUUGAACCGCAUGGUUCAAAAGUGAAAGACGGUCUUGCUGUCACUUAUAGAUGGAUCCGCGCUGCAUUAGCUAGUUGGUAAGGUAACGGCUUACCAAGGCAACGAUGCAUAGCCGACCUGAGAGGGUGAUCGGCCACACGAGAACUGAGACACGGUCCAGACUCCUACGGGAGGCAGCAGUAGGGAAUCUUCCGCAAUGGGCGAAAGCCUGACGGAGCAACGCCGCGUGAGUGAUGAAGGUCUUCGGAUCGUAAAACUCUGUUAUUAGGGAAGAACAUAUGUGUAAGUAACUGUGCACAUCUUGACGGUACCUAAUCAGAAAGCCACGGCUAACUACGUG